GCGGAUGUGGCGGAACUGGUAGACGCCCUGGAUUUAGGUUCCAGUGCCGAGAGGCGUGUAGGUUCGACUCCUAUCAUCCGCACCA
rnacentral:tRNA from 14 species